UGCAAGGGUUUCCUCGGGCCGGACGGAAAUUGGCCCUCAAGUGAAAAGCAAAAGGGAGCUUAACUGCAAGACCUACCCGUCGAGCAGAUACGUCGUAAU
rnacentral:rRNA from 1 species